UGGCGGCUCCCAAGAUGGCGUCCAUCAUGGAAGGGCCACUGAGCAAAUGGACUAACGUGAUGAAGGGCUGGCAGUACCAUUGGUUCGUGCUGGACUACAAUGCAGGACUGCUCUCCUACUACACGUCCAAGGACAAAAUGAUGAGAGACUCUCGCAGAGGAUGUGUUAGACUCAGAGGAGCUGUGAUUGGUAUAGACGAUGAGGACGACAGCACCUUCGCAAUAACUGUUGAUCAGAAAACCUUCCAUUUCCAGGCUCGUGAUGCUGAUGAUCGAGAGAAGUGGAUCCAUGCCUUAGAAGAAACGAUUCUUCGACAUACUCUUCAGCUUCAAGGUUUGGAUUCAGGAUUUGUUCCUAGUGUCCAAGAUUUUGAUAAGAAACUUACAGAAGCUGAUGCUUACCUACAAAUCUUGAUUGAACAAUUAAAGCUUUUUGAUGACAAGCUUCAAAACUGCAAAGAAGAUGAACAGAGAAAGAAAAUUGAAACUCUCAAAGAGACAACAAAUAGCAUGGUAGAAUCAGUUAAACACUUCAUUGUGUUGCUGCAGAUUGCCAAAGACCAGAGUAAUGUGGAGAAGCACGCAGAUGGAAUGAUAAGUACUAUUAAUCCUGUAGAUGCAAUAUAUCAACCGAGUCCUUUGGAACCUGUGAUCAGCACAAUGCCUUCCCAGACUGUGUUACCUCCAGAACCUGUUCAGUUGUGUAAGUCAGAGCAGCGUCCAUCUUCCCUCCCAGUUGGACCUGUGUUGGCUACAUUGGGACAUCAUCAGACUCCUACACCAAAUAGUACAGGCAGUGGCCAUUCACCACCGAGUAGCAGUCUCACUUCUCCAAGCCAUGUGAACUUGUCUCCAAAUACAGUCCCAGAGUUCUCUUACUCCAGCAGUGAAGAUGAAUUUUAUGAUGCCGAUGAAUUCCAUCAAAGUGGCUCAUCCCCAAAGCGCUUAAUAGAUUCUUCUGGAUCUGCCUUGGUCCUGACACACAGCAGCUCGGGAAAUAGUCUGAAACGCCCAGAUACCACAGAAUCACUUAAUUAUUCCACGUCCAAUGGAAAAAGUGAUGCUGACCUUUUCGAUUCACAUGAUGACAGAGAUGAUGAUGCGGAGGCAGGGUCUGUGGAGGAGCACAAAAGUGUUAUCAUGCAUCUUUUGUCACAGGUUAGGCUUGGAAUGGAUCUUACUAAGGUAGUUCUUCCAAUGUUUAUUCUUGAAAGAAGAUCUCUUUUAGAAAUGUAUGCAGACUUUUUUGCACAUCCGGACCUAUUUGUGAGUAUUAGUGACCAGAAGGAUCCCAAGGAUCGAAUGGUUCAGGUUGUGAAAUGGUACCUCUCAGCCUUUCAUGCAGGAAGGAAAGGAUCAGUUGCCAAAAAGCCAUACAAUCCCAUUUUGGGCGAGAUUUUUCAGUGUCAUUGGACAUUACCAAAUGAUACUGAAGAGAACACUGAACUAGUUUCAGAAGGACCAGUUCCCUGGGUUUCCAAAAACAGUGUAACAUUCGUGGCUGAGCAGGUUUCCCAUCAUCCACCCAUUUCAGCCUUUUAUGCUGAGUGUUUUAACAAGAAGAUACAAUUCAAUGCUCAUAUCUGGACCAAAUCAAAAUUCCUUGGGAUGUCAAUUGGGGUGCACAACAUAGGGCAGGGCUGUGUCUCAUGUCUAGACUAUGAUGAACAUUACAUUCUCACAUUCCCCAAUGGCUAUGGAAGGUCUAUCCUCACAGUGCCCUGGGUGGAAUUAGGAGGAGAAUGUAAUAUUAAUUGUUCCAAAACAGACUAUAGUGCAAAUAUCAUCUUCUACACUAAACCCUUCUAUGGGGGCAAGAAGCAUAGAAUUACUGCUGAGAUUUUUUCUCUAAAUGACAAGAAGUCUUUUUGCUCAAUUGAAGGGGAAUGGAAUGGUGUGAUGUAUGCAAAAUAUGCAACAGGGGAAAAUACAGUCUUUGUAGAUACCAAGAAGUUGCCUAUAAUCAAGAAGAAAGUGAGGAAGUUGGAAGAUCAGAAUGAGUAUGAAUCCCGCAGCCUUUGGAAGGAUGUCACUUUCAACUUAAAAAUCAGAGACAUUGAUGCAGCAACUGAAGCAAAGCACAGGCUUGAAGAAAGACAAUGAGUAGAAGCCCGAGAAAGGAAGGAGAAGGAGAUUCAGUGGGAGACAAGGUUAUUUCAUGAAGAUGGAGAACGCUGGGUUUAUGAUGAACCAUUACUGAAACGUCUUGGUGCUGCCAAGCAUUAGGUUGGAAGAUGCAAAGUUUAUACCUGAUGAUCAGGGCAGUAGGCAUAAUUCA